rnacentral:rRNA from 1 species
AGUGAACGCUGGCGGUAGGCCUAACACAUGCAAGUCGAACGGCAGCACAGUAAGAGCUUGCUCUUACGGGUGGCGAGUGGCGGACGGGUGAGGAAUACAUCGGAAUCUACUUUUUCGUGGGGGAUAACGUAGGGAAACUUACGCUAAUACCGCAUACGACCUACGGGUGAAAGCAGGGGAUCUUCGGACCUUGCGCGAUUGAAUGAGCCGAUGUCGGAUUAGCUAGUUGGCGGGGUAAAGGCCCACUAAGGCGACGAUCCGUAGCUGGUCUGAGAGGAUGAUCAGCCACACUGGAACUGAGACACGGUCCAGACUCCUACGGGAGGCAGCAGUGGGGAAUAGUGGACAAUGGGCGAAAGCCUGAUCCAGCCAUACCGCGUUGGUGAAGAAGGCCUUCGGGUUGUAAAGCCCUUUUGUUGGGAAAGAAAAGCAGCAGGUUAAUACCCCGCUGCUCUGACGGUACCCAAAGAAUAAGCACCGGCUAACUUCGUG